rnacentral:rRNA from 1 species
GACGAACGCUGGCGGCGUGCUUAACACAUGCAAGUCGAACGAAGAGCGAUGGAAGCUUGCUUCUAUCAAUCUUAGUGGCGAACGGGUGAGUAACGCGUAAUCAACCUGCCCUUCAGAGGGGGACAACAGUUGGAAACGACUGCUAAUACCGCAUACGAUCUAAUCUCGGCAUCGAGGAUAGAUGAAAGGUGGCCUCUACAUGUAAGCUAUCACUGAAGGAGGGGAUUGCGUCUGAUUAGCUAGUUGGAGGGGUAACGGCCCACCAAGGCGAUGAUCAGUAGCCGGUCUGAGAGGAUGAACGGCCACAUUGGGACUGAGACACGGCCCAGACUCCUACGGGAGGCAGCAGUGGGGAAUCUUCCGCAAUGGACGAUAGUCUGACGGAGCAACGCCGCGUGAGUGAUGACGGCCCUUCGGGGUUGUAAAAGCUCUGUUAAAUCGGGACGAAAAGGCCUUUCUG